rnacentral:piRNA from 1 species
GGACAAUCUUUCCCAGCUCUCCAGAAA